GGGUUGGUGGCGCAAUGGAAAAAGUGCCUGACUAUGGAUCAGAAGAUGCAAGGUUCCACUCCUGGCUAGCUUGA